CCUACGGGCGGCUGCAGUGGGGAAUUUUGGACAAUGGGCGCAAGCCUGAUCCAGCCAUUCCGCGUGAGUGAAGAAGGCCUUCGGGUUGUAAAGCUCUUUCGCAAGGGAAGAAAACUUAUCCUCUAACAUAGGAUGAGGUUGACGGUACCUUGAUAAGAAGCACCGGCUAACUACGUGCCAGCAGCCGCGGUAAUACGUAGGGUGGUAGCGUUCGUCGGAAUUGCUGGGCGUAUAUCGUAAGCCAGAUGUGAAAUCCCCGGGCUCAACUUGGGAACUGCGGUUGAAACUACAAGACUAGAAUAGGUCAGAGGGGGGUAGAAUUCCACGUGUAGCAGUGAAAUGCGUAGAGAUGUGGAGGAAUAUCAAUGGCGAAGGCAGCCCCCUGGGAUCAUAUUGACGCUCAUGCACGAAAGCGUGGGGAGCAAACAGGAUUAGAUACCCCUGUAGUC
rnacentral:rRNA from 1 species